rnacentral:rRNA from 1 species
UGUUAGCGGCGGACGGGUGAGUAACACGUGGAUAACCUACCUAUAAGACUGGGAUAACUUCGGGAAACCGGAGCUAAUACCGGAUAAUAUUUUGAACCGCAUGGUUCAAAAGUGAAAGACGGUCUUGCUGUCACUUAUAGAUGGAUCCGCGCUGCAUUAGCUAGUUGGUAAGGUAACGGCUUACCAAGGCAACGAUGCAUAGCCGACCUGAGAGGGUGAUCGGCCACACUGGAACUGAGACACGGUCCAGACUCCUACGGGAGGCAGCAGUAGGGAAUCUUCCGCAAUGGGCGAAAGCCUGACGGAGCAACGCCGCGUGAGUGAUGAAGGUCUUCGGAUCGUAAAACUCUGUUAUUAGGGAAGAACAUAUGUGUAAGUAACUGUGCACAUCUUGACGGUACCUAAUCAGAAAGCCACGGCUAACUACGUGCCAGCAGCCGCGGUAAUACGUAGGUGGCAAGCGUUAUCCGGAAUUAUUGGGCGUAAAGCGCGCGUAGGCGGUUUUUUAAGUCUGAUGUGAAAGCCCACGGCUCAACCGUGGAGGGUCAUUGGAAACUGGAAAACUUGAGUGCAGAAGAGGAAAGUGGAAUUCCAUGUGUAGCGGUGAAAUGCGCAGAGAUAUGGAGGAACACCAGUGGCGAAGGCGACUUUCUGGUCUGUAACUGACGCUGAUGUGCGAAAGCGUGGGGAUCAAACAGGAUUAGAUACCCUGGUAGUCCACGCCGUAAACGAUGAGUGCUAGGUGUUGGGUCCUUUCCGGGACUCAGUGCCGCAGCUAACGCAUUAAGCACUCCGCCUGGGGAGUACGACCGCAAGGUUGAAACUCAAAGGAAUUGACGGG